rnacentral:rRNA from 1 species
GACGAACCGUCCAAACGUUGUUCGGAAUCACUGGGCUUAAAGGGCGCGUAGGCGGGCUGCCAAGUCAGGGGUGAAAUCCCACGGCUCAACCGUGGAAGUGCCUCUGAUACUGGCGGCCUCGAGGGAGGUAGGGGCGUGCGGAACUUCCGGUGGAGCGGUGAAAUGCGUAGAGAUGUGGAGGAACACCGAUGGCGAAGGCAGCCCCCUGGGCUAACACUGACGCUCAUGCACGAAAGCGUGGGGAGCAAACAGG